AAAAUCUGGCUCCAGUUGAGUCACAGCAACAGGUGGCUGUUCCUCUGAACAAGGGUUGCUAGCACAUAAAUGCUAGAGGUAUUCAAACAGACUGCAACGCGGCAGCAUGUCUGCCGGAAAGGCAGCCCAGGCCUUCCUGACUAUAAUCAAGAGCCGAUGCCAAGGCAGGGAAGUUACACACAGCCAGAGGAAUUUCAAGGUCGGGAGAACAAACCUAUCCCGGGGAAGCCAGCAAAUUCCUUGCUGAUGGAGCCCUCUGAUUUAUCUGGAAGGAGAGGAAAUCACAGGCCUGCAUAGCAUAGAGUGAUAACCUUGGGUUAGUAGUGCAAUAUAAACCUCAGGCGUUAUUUUCUGCAUCCCCGCCUGAAGGGACCUUGGUGUGUUAGUCCUGCAAAUAAAAGCCAAAGCUGUGUGACUGGUACCCAGAUGUCCUGGAGGCCCCUGGGCUUGGAGAAGACUUGUUCGAGGACCUGGGCCUCUGCAGCUCUACUCUGCUAUGCUCACACAGAGCUGAUACAUCUUAGCAAGCAACAGACAACCUGAGAGAGCAUGAAUCCCUUCUCUAUCUGGGGCAAAGCUUUUCCCUUCAAGAUGACUUCAAGGCAAAAUUUGAUUGAUUUUAAGCAGACACGUCAGAUGAUCAGACUCUGAAGAGUCACACUAGAAAGCUGAAGUUUUUCUUGGUACGCUGUCAUGAAGAUUUAGGUGGAGAGGUGGCUCAGAGGUUAAGAGCACUAGCUGCUCUUGUAGAGGACCCAGGUUCAGUUCCCAGCAGCCACAUCAGGUGGCUCACAACCAUCUGUAACCGCAGCUCCAGGGAGCCUAAGUCUCUGACCUCUGAGGCUGUCAUACAGAGACACUCAUAUACCUAUAAAUAAAUAAACAUAAGUUUUUAGAAAGCAAUGUUGUUUGGGCAGUGUGUUUCCACAUUUUCAGUAUUUUUUUCAAGAUCCUGAAAGAGUUAGUAGUAUUAGUUCUGCAUCCUUCAAAAUAUGUCUUUCUAAAAACCUGUGAAAAUACAGCCUGAGGUUUUUGUGC
ensembl:lincRNA Gm28722 predicted gene 28722